rnacentral:rRNA from 1 species
AUGGCGUGGUGGCUGCGGUGUGGCCGGCAGCCGUCGGUGGCCUUCCCCUGCCCUGCUUCAGUCGGCUGGGCCCGAUUCUUGCCCAAAGGUUUUGUUUUUUUCCUGGCGUCAGCGUCGGUGGACCUUGGUGAGGGUGGUGGGGUAAUCUCCGAUGCCGGGGCGGCGACUCUGGUGGUGGAAGCGCGGUGCUCGUGGGCGGAGCCCAUGGCUCAGGUGCCGCCUGGUGGCCAUGGCCAUGACCCUAGUAGUUUGUCGUGCUAUGGGGUGGUGUUGCUACGCUCAGCUCCUAUGUAUCCUGCCUUGGGGUGUGUGCCUAUGUUGUGGUGGCAAAAUGUUGAUAAUUAUGCAAAAGAGAUAAAACAGUCCAAUGGAACAUGA